AGAAAUGUGUCUGAUAAAAGAGUUACUUUGAUAGAGUAAAACAUAGAGGUUCAAACCCUCUUAUUUCUA
rnacentral:tRNA from 1 species